AGUGAACGCUGGCGGUAGGCCUAACACAUGCAAGUCGAACGGCAGCACAGUAAGAGCUUGCUCUUACGGGUGGCGAGUGGCGGACGGUUGAGGAAUACAUCGGAAUCUACUUUUUCGUGGGGGAUAACGUAGGGAAACUUACGCUAAUACCGCAUACGACCUACGUGUGAAAGCAGGGGAUCUUCGGACCUUGCGCGAGUGAAUGAGCCGAUGUCGGAUUAGCUAGUUGGCGGGGUAAAGGCCCACCAAGGCGACGAUCCGUAGCUGGUCUGAGAGGAUGAUCAGCCACACUGGAACUGAGACACGGUCCAGACUCCUACGGGAGGCAGCAGUGGGGAAUAUUGGACAAUGGGCGCAAGCCUGAUCCAGCCAUACCGCGUGGGUGAAGAAGGCCUUCGGGUUGUAAAGCCCUUUUGUUGGGAAAGAAAAGCAGCAGGUUAAUACCCCGCUGUUCUGACGGUACCCAAAGAAUAAGCACCGGCUAACUUCGUG
rnacentral:rRNA from 1 species